CUUGCUGGGAGCAGGCACCACCACCAUGACCAGCCAGUCCCAGGGGAUCCACCACCUCCUCCAGGCAGAAAAAAGGGCCAAGGACAAGCUAGAGGAGGCCAAGAAGAGAAAAGGGAAGCGGUUGAAGCAAGCUAAGGAGGAAGCAAUGGCAGAAAUCGACCAGUACAGAAUGCAGAAAGAGAAGGAGUUUCGGCUGAAACAGUCGAAGAUGAUGGGUUCUCAAAGUAAUCUCUCGGGUGAAAUAGAAGAAGAAACACGAGGGAAGAUACAAGAACUAAACGGACGCUACAACAAGCACGUGGAAAGCGUGAUGCAACAGCUUCUGGGCAUGGUCUGUGACAUGAAACCAGAAAUCCAUGUGAACUAUAGAGCCGCCAACUAAACGUACAUCAUACUGCUCAAGGAAAGGUGUGCAGGUGCCACCUGGUUGCCUAAAGUUUCAUGUUUAGAUUGAAAUGCUAAUCUUAAAUUUACUGGACAUCUACACAUAAGCUGUCAUCCUACGCAGAAAUAAAGGCUAGACCGAGACGCUCCCAAUUUAACACACCUGGAAUCCCGUCGAACUCGACUGUGUCUCUGCCCUUCCACCCGCCUUAAGGAACACCCCUUCUUCCCGCCAGAAUCUCCACCACGGCUCCCGGCUUCUGUCUAUCUAGUCCUCUCCGUCUCAAUCCCGUUAGACCUUCCAGCCCAGGCCAUCAUCUCCUCCUUCCCCUGCUC